GAAAAAUUUGUUGGAUUAUUAAGAACGGUAAUAGAUAGGACUGAUAUCUGUUUGCAAUCAAUAUCACCAAUCAGAAAGGUUGUUAUAAAGUACAACCACGGUGUAUCAAACUUCAUACAAAGAAAAAAGUCCCAAACUUGCAUGUUUUCUACUUUCCGCAACCUCCUUCCUCCCUCUUUUUGUUCAGAGCAUUCAGAGAUCGAAAGGUUGAUGGAGAGAGAGAGGGGAGGGGAGAGUGAAAGGAAGAAGAAGAAGCACUUUGGUUUGAAUCACUGACCAGAGGGCUAAUUGUUGCAGGAAGGAGAGGAUAACACAAAUUCAUCAAUAUUCAAACAAUGCCAGUUUUGAGCAAGAACCAAAGUCUCAGAAGGAAUCAUCUUGACAGAGGACAGGAUAUACAACUAGAACAAGGAUACAAAAUUAGCAAGAGUCUUCAUAACACAUCAGCAUGCUCAUCACAGUUCCUACACAAUACACAGUAGCGGGGCUUCAUGAAGAUGUAAUCUCAAGUUUGUUUCAACAUUUAGAAUUCCCAGUGACUCUUCAACACUCACCAAAUAAUUUCAAGCUGACCUUAUCUCAGCAAUUUCAGGCCCCGAUCCAAUACUUUGGUCUUGCAUCCAUUCACCAUCCUUUUCUAGCGAGCACUCCAUCACUCCAGUUUCGGUUUUCAACAUAUCAGAAGUUAUUGGACAUGAUUCAGCCAGCAUUCCAUUACUCCAGAAUCAGCUAUCAACAUAUCAGAAGUAUUGGUCAUGUUUCAGCAUUUCCUUGCCCCUGCUGUCUUUUAUGUUUCAUUUACCUCACCUAUGGCUAUUUGUUUUUCAUUUCAGAAGUUUUGUUUUUAUUUCUCCUGUCCUACUGUACAUCUCUUAGGCCAUCCCAUCUGAUGCCUUACUGUUCUUCUUCGUUGGUUCUAUCUACUUUGCUGCUCAUCAAAAACAAAAAAA